CCUACGGGAGGCAGCAGUAGGGAAUCUUCCACAAUGGACGAAAGUCUGAUGGAGCAACGCCGCGUGAGUGAAGAAGGGUUUCGGCUCGUAAAGCUCUGUUGGUAGUGAAGAAAGAUAGAGGUAGUAACUGGCCUCUAUUUGACGGUAAUUACUUAGAAAGGCACGGCUAACUACGUGCCAGCAGCCGCGGUAAUACGUAGGUGGCAAGCGUUGUCCGGAUGUAUUGGGCGUAAAGCGAGUGCAGGCGGUUCAAUAAGUCUGAUGUGAAAGCCUUCGGCUCAACCGGAGAAUUGCAUCAGAAACUGUUGAACUUGAGUGCAGAAGAGGAGAGUGGAACUCCAUGUGUAGCGGUGGAAUGCGUAGAUAUAUGGAAGAACACCAGUGGCGAAGGCGGCUCUCUGGUCUGCAACUGACGCUGAGGCUCGAAAGCAUGGGUAGCGAACAGGAUUAGAUACCCGAGUAGUC
rnacentral:rRNA from 1 species